CCUACGGGUGACAGCAGUGGGGAAUAUUGCACAAUGGGCGAAAGCCUGAUGCAGCAACGCCGCGUGAGUGAAGAAGGAAUUCGGUUCGUAAAGCUCUGUCAUCAGGGAAGAAAAUGACGGUACCUGAGUAAGAAGCCCCGGCUAACUACGUGCCAGCAGCCGCGGUAAUACGUAGGGGGCAAGCGUUAUCCGGAUUUACUGGGGGGAAAGGGAGCGUAGGCGGUUGUGCAAGUCUGGAGUGAAAGGCGCGGGAUCAAACCGAGGGAAGCAUUGGAAACUGGGGAGCUGGAGUGCAGAAGAGGAGAGUGGAAUUCCUAGUGUAGCGGUGAAAUGCGUAGAUAUUAGGAGGAACACCAGUGGCGAAGGCGGCUCUCUGGACUGUAACUGACGCUGAGGCUCGAAAGCGUGGGGAGCAAACAGGAUUAGAUACCCCAGUAGUC
rnacentral:rRNA from 1 species